rfam:Candidatus Woesebacteria bacterium RIFCSPLOWO2_01_FTLL_39_10 rifcsplowo2_01_scaffold_4361, whole genome shotgun sequence.
CGGGGAUUGGCUCAGCUGGUAGAGCGCCGCGUUUGGGACGCGGAGGUCGGCAGUUCGAAUCUGCCAUCCCCGA